ACGCUGGAUGGGCCGUGCACCGAGGGUUCUUGCCGCGGUACCUGUACGAUGCCGCGGAACCUGUGACACGAAGGAGCGGUUGCCGAGUACGCCUAAAGGGAAAGUCACGAUUUUGGUGAGCCAGAGGCAUCUCUACACCCCAUACGAACCUCCGGCACUUCUGCAACCUGACAACACGGCAAAGCGUCUGAUCUGCAUGCUACGACAAGAAUAUACAUGCAGCAAGUUCAAGUGCGCAGACCUCAAAUUGAAGAGGGCAUAGUCUCCAUGCUGCAGAAAAUGGGGUCCAAGAGCUACUCCUCUUCCAUGGAAUCAAGUGGCGAGUAGAUAUUCUGACUCACUACUUCAUCGUUCGUUGUGCUGGGGCAGGCACUGUGACACACAAAGGUAGUGGAAAGAAAAACACAUGACAAGUGAAGCGCGAACUGUCAACUGAGUUUGGUGAACAAGGAAGAACCUAUACCCGAAGCCACUAUCAUCAGCUGGCUGCAGGUUAUAUGUGCUAAAAUGGCGGAGAUAAGAUAAUCAGAAUGAAUCAAAACUGACAAGGCGACCCACUUGAAUCAUAUCGAGCCGAUAAUACGUUGGAAACUGAGUGACGAUGAGGUAGAGCCACAGACGGCUCGCUCACACAGACUUCAGCACCAGC